rnacentral:rRNA from 1 species
AGCUCCAAUAGCGUAUAUUAAAGUUGUUGCGGUUAAAAAGCUCGUAGUUGGAUCUCGGCGGGGAGAAGGCGGGUAACUGCUAAAGGGUACUGGCUUAUUACACGGAGGUUUUGCUAGAGGGUUCAGGGUGCUCUUAAUAGAGUGUCCUGGGAUGCUAGCAGGUUUACUUUGAAAAAAUUAGAGUGCUCAAAGCAGGCUACUACGCUUGAAUAUUCGUGCAUGGAAUAAUAGAAUAGGAAGUCGUUUCUAUUUUGUUGGUUUUCGGAAAUCGACUUAAUGAUUAAUAGGGACAGUCGGGGGCAUUUGUAUUCAAACGACAGAGGUGAAAUUCUUGGACCGUUUGAAGACAAACUACUGCGAAAGCAUUUGCCAAGAAUGUUUUCA